GACAGUAGCUCAUUGGUAGAGUGCAUGCUUUGUAUGUAUGAGGUACUGGGUUCAUACCCCAGCAUAAGUCA